ensembl:lincRNA
UUCAGCUAAUGUUGUCCCGGAUGCGUGUAAUCUGAGACGUGGUUGAUUAUCACAGGUGAAAGGUCUCCAGGUUGCAGCGCGGGUGCCUGCUUUCACCACACACCAGCGGAUCUGACCGAAAGAGGCUGUGUGUGUGUGUGACCAUGCACUUCAUCGGCGCGGUCAAGUACAAAGUACCCGAGUUCCAGACAGCGGAGACGAAAUCAGCACCCCAGUCCCCGGGAGAGUCCUGCAGUAUCAGGGCUCGGAGCUUUGUGUAAUCUGGGAAGAUACGGGCGCCGAGGAGCUACACUCAAAAUCCGCCGCGAUAAGUCAGUCUUGCCCUGCACGGACGUAACGUCACGUGAGACUUUCGUCUUGUUUUGCCAGAUACGAGGAUCACGCAGCCGUACAGUAGACAGCAGGGAUCAAGGUUCAGUGGAAGAAACCACCUGGCUGUGUUGACUACAAUGGGUGACGUCUCUGCGGGGCCGUGCUGUGACCCUCCACAUGCUGCUUGUUUACAGCGGCCUGGGGUCAGUCCGGCCGCUGAUAAGCGCGGGUCCCGCUAUAAGAGCCUCAGCGGGAGGAGACUGGGUCCUGACACCCGCUGAUCUGGAAGGGCGCAAGAAACCAUGCACCUAGAAGCUGUCGUCCUCGCGCUGUCCUUGGCCCUUGUGGCAGCGUUCCCACUUCACCAGGACUCCGGCACAGGCGCCAGGGCAGGGGUCUGGGACUACCUGAGCCACGUGGCCAAUCACGUCAAUGACAAGACCCCGCAGGACAGGCCGUCCAAGGAAGACAAGUAGGUGCAUCUGCCCGGACGACCAGCUUUUGUGUUACAGGCUGUCACCUCACGCAUGGGCUUCAGGUCAGCAACGAGAUAAGAAAUUAAUUUUCAGGCGAAAGGGGAUUCACGUCUAACCCCAGAAAUCUGGGUCUACAGAGAGGGCGUUAGAGAAGGUCAGGCGGGGAGCUGCGUCAGCAGGGGUAGGC